GUGAGGAAUUUUCCGCAAUGGGCGAAAGCCUGACGGAGCAAUGCCGCGUGAAGGAUGAAGGCCUAUGGGUUGUAAACUUCUUUUCUCAGAAAAGAAUUAUGACGGUAUCUGAGGAAUAAGCAUCGGCUAACUCUGUGCCAGCAGCCGCGGUAAGACAGAGGAUGCAAGCGUUAUCCGGAGUGAUUGGGCGUAAAGCGUCUGUAGGUUGUUUAAAAAGUAUUCUGUCAAAGAUUAGGGCUUAACCCUAGAUAGGCAGAAUAAACUUUUAAGCUAGAGUUUGGUAGAGGCAGAGGGAAUUCCCGGUGGAGCGGUGAAAUGCGUAGAUAUCGGGAGGAACACCAAAGGCGAAGGCACUCUGCUGGGCCAAUACUAACACUGAGAGACGAAAGCGAGGGGAGCAAAUGGGAUUAGAUACCGAGUAGUCC
rnacentral:rRNA from 1 species